AUUGAACGCUGGCGGCAUGCCUUACACAUGCAAGUCGAGCGGCAGCGCGGGGGCAACCCUGGCGGCGAGCGGCGAACGGGUGAGUAAUGCAUCGGAACGUGUCCUCUUGUGGGGGAUAACCAGUCGAAAGACUGGCUAAUACCGCAUGAGAUCGAGAGAUGAAAGCGGGGGACCGCAAGGCCUCGCGCGAGAGGAGCGGCCGAUGCCCGAUUAGCUAGUUGGUGGGGUAAUGGCCUACCAAGGCGACGAUCGGUAGCUGGUCUGGGAGGACGACCAGCCACACUGGGACUGAGACACGGCCCAGACUCCUACGGGAGGCAGCAGUGGGGAAUUUUGGACAAUGGGGGCAACCCUGAUCCAGCCAUGCCGCGUGUGUGAAGAAGGCCU
rnacentral:rRNA from 1 species